UACGGAGGAUGCAAGCGUUAUCCGGAAUUAUUGGGCGUAAAGCGUCCGCAGGUGGCUGUGUAAGUCUGCUGUCAAAGAGCAAAGCUCAACUUUGUAAAGGCAGUGGAAACUACACGGCUAGAGUGCGUUCGGGGCAGAGGGAAUUCCUGGUGUAGCGGUGAAAUGCGUAGAGAUCAGGAAGAACACCGGUGGCGAAGGCGAUCUGCUAGGCCGCAACUGACACUGAGGGACGAAAGCUAGGGGAGCGAAUGGG
rnacentral:rRNA from 1 species